rfam:Lutispora thermophila DSM 19022 genome assembly, contig: EJ66DRAFT_scaffold00014.14
UAACAUGAGAGUUUGAUCCUGGCUCAGGACGAACGCUGGCGGCGUGCCUAACACAUGCAAGUCGAACGGAGAUGGUGGGAUAGCUUGCUAUUUUAUCAUCUUAGUGGCGGACGGGUGAGUAACACGUGG